rnacentral:misc_RNA from 1 species
AAGUCGUAACAAGGUCUCCGUAGGUGAACCUGCGGAGGGAUCAUUAACACGAAUACACUUGGAAACAAGUCGUUCAACCAACCCAACCAACCGUGAAAACGGGGUCGAAAGACCUCAACGCCCCACUUAUAAACGUUAAAAAAAGGUUGUAUCGUUCGAUUCUCAGCGUGUCUAUAAAUGAUCAAUAUAUGUGAUGGUAUUCAGUCCUUUGAUUUGAGUACAUAUUGAUUACCUUAGACUGUUGAUACAACCCUCGUUUUAUAAAUGGACCCUUUUUUUUCGCAUCACGAAAUAAACAUAACCAACCUAUUUCACCCUAACCAUAUAAACAUUGACUGAUUUCGUUUUUUUGUAUUCAUUUACAAAAAAUCAAAACUCGAUAUCAUCGAAAACUAAAAGCACAACUCUUAGCAACGGAUAUCUUGGUUCUC